AUCGCUUCUCGGCCUUUUGGCUAAGAUCAAGUGUAGUAUCUGUUCUUAUCCGUUUAAUAUCUGAUACGUCCUUUAUCCAACAGCCUCCACAAACGGCCAAUUUCUUUUUUAAGAUUAAUUUUAUUUAAAAGGUGGAUUUUUACAGAGAGACAAGGAGACACAGAAGAUUUUCCGUUCACUGAUUUGUUCCCCAAAUGACCACAGUGACCGGAGC
ensembl:snRNA U2 U2 spliceosomal RNA